rnacentral:rRNA from 1 species
GAUGAACGCUGGCGGCGUGCUUAACACAUGCAAGUCGAACGGAAAGGCCAGUGCUUGCCCUGGUACUCGAGUGGCGAACGGGUGAGUAACACGUGGGUGAUCUGCCCUGCACUUCGGGAUAAGCCUGGGAAACUGGGUCUAAUACCGGAUAGGACAAUGGUUUGGAUGCCGUUGUGGAAAGUUUUUUCGGUGUGGGAUGAGCUCGCGGCCUAUCAGCUUGUUGGUGGGGUAAUGGCCUACCAAGGCGUCGACGGGUAGCCGGCCUGAGAGGGUGCACGGCCACAUUGGGACUGGGAUACGGCCCAGACUCCUACGGGGGGCAGCAGUGGGGAAUAUUGCACAAUGGGGGCAAGCCUGAGGCAGCGACGCCGCGUGGGGGAUGACGGCCUUCGGGUUGUAAACUCCUUUCGCUAGGGACGAAGCGUAUUUGUGACGGUACCUGGAGAAGAAGCACCGGCUAACUACGUG